rnacentral:rRNA from 1 species
UACAUGUGGGGCAAGCGUUGUUCGGAAUCAUUGGGCGUAAAGCGCGUGUAGGCGGCCCGGUAAGUCCGCUGUGAAAGUCGGGGGCUCAACCCUCGGAUGCCGGUGGAUACUGUCGGGCUCGAGUACGGAAGAGGCGAGUGGAAUUCCUGGUGUAGCGGUGAAAUGCGCAGAUAUCAGGAGGAACACCAAUUGCGAAGGCAGCUCGCUGGGACGUUACUGACGCUGAGACGCGAAAGCGUGGGGAGCAAACAGG